UACGUAGGGGGCAAGCGUUGUCCGGAAUCAUUGGGCGGAAAGCGCGUGUAGGCGGCUCGAUAAGUCCGCUCUGAAAGCCCGGGGCUCAACCCCGGGAGGCGGGCGGAAACUGUCGGGCUAGAGUCCGGAAGAGGCGAGUGGAAUUCCCGGUGUAGCGGUGAAAUGCGCAGAUAUCGGGAGGAACACCAAUGGCGAAGGCAGCUCGCUGGGACGUGACUGACGCUGAGACGCGAAAGCGUGGGGAGCAAACAGG
rnacentral:rRNA from 1 species